AAAACUUUCAACAACGGAUCUCUUGGCUCUGGCAUCGAUGAAGAACGCAGCGAAAUGCGAUAAGUAAUGUGAAUUGCAGAAUUCAGUGAAUCAUCGAAUCUUUGAACGCACAUUGCGCCCGCCAGUAUUCUGGCGGGCAUGCCUGUUCGAGCGUCAUU
rnacentral:rRNA from 93 species